GACGAACGCUGGCGGCGUGCCUAAUACAUGCAAGUUGAGCGCUGAAGGUUGGUACUUGAACCAACUGGAUGAGCAGCGAACGGGUGAGUAACGCGUGGGGAAUCUGCCUUUGAGCGGGGGACAACAUUUGGAAACGAAUGCUAAUACCGCAUAAAAACUUUAAACACAAGUUUUAAGUUUGAAAGAUGCAAUUGCAUCACUCAAAGAUGAUCCCGCGUUGUAUUAGCUAGUUGGUGAGGUAAAGGCUCACCAAGGCGAUGAUACAUAGCCGACCUGAGAGGGUGAUCGGCCACAUUGGGACUGAGACACGGCCCAAACUCCUACGGGAGGCAGCAGUAGGGAAUCUUCGGCAAUGGACGAAAGUCUGACCGAGCAACGCCGCGUGAGUGAAGAAGGGUUUCGGAUCGUAAAACUCUGUUGGUAGAGAAGAACGUUGGUGAGAGUGGAAAGCUCAUCAAGUGACGGUAACUACCCAGAAAGGGACGGCUAACUACGUG
rnacentral:rRNA from 1 species